UGUUUAUCAAUUACCCAAUCUUGGGUAGUAUCUUCCAGUUAUAAAUUACCCAAUCUUGGGUAGCCCAUCUUCAGUGUGAAAAUGGCCUAAUAGAUUCAUCUUUCUAGCUAAGAUGCAAAUUCUCUGAAGGGAAGGAGUUAUUGCAAACAAACUUAAGCCAGUUUCAGUAUAUGCAAUGUUGGUUCUCUUUGGUGGAAACAGUAGUCACUGAAGAAGAUGUUGGAGGUGGGUGAGGUUCCAGGUGGGUGAGGUUUAUCUGCUUCCCACACCCUCCCUGUCCCAUGACAUUGAUGGGAAAUCUCACAUCAAAUUCUGCCACAUAUAUGAACAUUCACUAAAAAAGAACUUAUUAGCUAGUAAAUGAAAGACAGUUUAUAAAGUCUGAUCUUUAAGGGCCGUGAAACCCAAGCUCUCUACCCUUUGAAGUGCUUUGGCCACUGUCUUAUAUGAAAAGUUUAUCUGAGACAGAUAUGACAACAGUCUCAUAUGACAACAUUCUCUUAUGACAACAUAUGAGGGUAACACAUAUGUUACCCUCAUACGUGGCAUUGGGCAACCAGACAUCCUCCUAACAAGUGGCUAGAUGUAGGACCAGUUGGGAUCAAGUUUCUGAUGCCUUCCCUGAGGGUGCAGGCAGCAGGCCUUCCUAGAUUUCUCUAACCUAUUUAUGUGAGUGGUUCUGAACUAUUUUAGCCCCAUCCACGCAUCUCAAAUAUCUUCAGUUUCACCCAGUUAAGAGCCCACAUUCACUGUGCAGACUACUAGCUACUACUUGAAUUAAUAAAAACCCUUUCUGACAUUCACUAUGCUAAGCCAAACAUAAGGUACUGAUCAAGAUAUGGAUAUCAUUGGUGCUCACAGCAGCUGCCUUAACUUCCUAAUUGGAAUGGAGCUGACUAUGCCCUGAUUGUGUUCUUGGCAAGAGGUGCUGCCCUUGGAGUCAGAGCUUCUACCAAAUAGCACAAACUCAAUAUUUUCUGUCUAUGCUGAACUUUGUGAAGCUUCUCUGAAACUUUCCUGGAAGAUCCGGCAACACCAGGCCUUCUUUCUUGCAUGGUCACAGGAGAUGAGAGCAGAGUUGUCUAAACAAGGUCUAAGAGGGCUGAUUGAGUAAGAUGACGCAUGUGACCGCUGUGGCUCCCCAGUCUGAAAACUUGGCACCAGAAGACACUGUGUAACUGCCAGUCUUACUGUUGUGCUUGGAUCACACCACUUGGAACUCGGGAGUUUCACAUACUUAGGGGGCUGAAGACAUUUCCCUGAAGCCUUGGCAAUUGAGACCUCAUUUACAGCUCCUGUGCUGGGACAGGAUUUCUUCUUUGCUUACCUUCACCCUUCACCCCAGUGAGGGCGUGGGCAGGAGAGAUUGGCACACUGGAUAAGAAAGAGAGAGAGCCCAGCCAAAUACUCGGCACCAUUUUGUAAGGAGCAAUCAGGCGUGGAAAGCCUUGAAGAUUCUGGGCUACCUCAGGCAGAAUGUGCUCAAGAAGAACCUUACCCUUUUUGUUUUUAAUUUAUUUUCUCAAAAAUUGAGAUGGGCCAGACAUGAU
rnacentral:lncRNA from 1 species